GCGACCGUCCAAUCGUGCCUGACGAGGGAAUAAAUCCGAACCAUCCACGCGCGCAGGAACAAAUCAGGGCCAUCCAAUCUCGGGCACGCGAAUUGUCAGUGUUGCCUCCCGCAUGGCUUCGAGUUAGCGUGCCUUGCCAUGCAACACGGUCUGGUUCAUUGGGGCUAUGGACUGGGUGGUCCCACAUGUCGUAUUUUUUUUAAAUUACAUUUUGACCUCUAAUCUU
rnacentral:lncRNA from 1 species